AACAUAUUGAAUUUUAUUUCAUUUUUUUGAGUAACAUUUUGAAUUCUUUCAACUUGAUAAAACUGAUAUAUAUGCUUCUUUUGUUUUGUGUUAUUGAAAUAACUUGAUAUUCCUAUGACUUGAAAGGAAAAAAAUAAUUUUCUUUAAAAACUGAAGUGUGCCAUUUUAAAUAUUCCACAGUAAAGUUGCAUGUUCCCUCUCCUUCCACACUGCAUGUCCUUACCCUGUUCCCUACAGAAACCUUAUAUAUAUAUGUAUAGCUCAGUAUAUACAUCAGUUAAAUUAGAGAAUUCCAAUUUUUUAAAUCACAUUUUUUUUUUAAUAUUUUCUCUUUUUCUAGAUGAUAGCUGUGCACACUGAUGGGGGAAAAUACAGACAGAAACAACAGAUGAAAAAGUCUCAGCUCCACCUCAUGAGUCUGUUAUAGAGGUCCAUGAACCUCCCCCUCAACCCCCUGCUGCAAAGAGAAUUAGUGCCGAAAACAAAUCAAACAAAGAUGGUGGAGCGUAUACCUGGGACUGGGGUUUAUGUGUAUCCCAAACACAUAAAAAACGCACAGAGGAAGACGAAGGGGAACAGGUCGCCAGAUAUUUGAUGUCAGUGUUCUUCACCAACACUGAGCUGGUCAACCUGGGAAAGGUUUGAACCAGACCAUUGUUUGAGCAAUAAUUGAUUAUGCUGAGGCGAUUCAUGGGAAAAGUGGCCUGUCAGAAAUCAAGUUUUCAAUGAGGACACAAAUCAGUGCUUUGGUCAGCUUGGCU